AUGCAAUCCACCUGUAACAGGGGGAUAACCCGGAGAAAUCCGGACUAAUACCCCAUAAUAUGGGCGCUCCGCAUGGAGAGUCCAUUAAAGAGAGCAAUUUUGGUUACAGACGAGCAUGCGCUCCAUUAGCCAGUUGGCGGGGUAACGGCCCACCAAAGCGACGAUGGAUAGGGGUUCUGAGAGGAAGGUCCCCCACAUCGGAACUGAGACACGGUCCAAACUCCUACGGGAGGCAGCAGUGAGGAAUAUUGGUCAAUGGUCGGCAGACUGAACCAGCCAAGUCGCGUGAGGGAAGACGGCCCUACGGGUUGUAAACCUCUUUUGUCGGAGAGUAAAGUACGCUACGUGUAGCGUAUUGCAAGUAUCCGAAGAAAAAGCAUCGGCUAACUCCGUGCCAGCAGCCGCGGUAAUACGGAGGAUGCGAGCGUUAUCCGGAUUUAUUGGGUUUAAAGGGUGCGUAGGCGGCACGCCAAGUCAGCGGUGAAAUUUUCGGGCUCAACCCGGACUGUGCCGUUGAAACUGGCGAGCUAGAGUGCACAAGAGGCAGGCGGAAUGCGUGGUGUAGCGGUGAAAUGCAUAGAUAUCACGCAGAACCCCGAUUGCGAAGGCAGCCUGCUAGGGUGCGACAGACGCUGAGGCACGAAAGCGUGGGUAUCGAACAGGAUUAGAUACCCUGGUAGUCCACGCAGUAAACGAUGAAUACUAACUGUUUGCGAUACAAUGUAAGCGGUACAGCGAAAGCGUUAAGUAUUCCACCUGGGGAGUACGCCGGCAACGGUGAAACUCAAAGGAAUUGACGGGGG
rnacentral:rRNA from 1 species